UAGGGGAAGAUAAUGACUGUACCCUAAGAAUAAGGUCCGGCUAACUUCGUGCCAGCAGCCGCGGUAAUACGAAGGGACCUAGCGUAGUUCGGAAUUACUGGGCGUAAAGCGCGCGUAGGCCGUUGAGUUAGUUAAUUGUGAAAUCCCAAAGCUUAACUUUGGAACUGCAAUUAAAACUGCUCGACUAGAGUUUGAUAGAGGAAAGCGGAAUACAUAGUGUAGAGGUGAAAUUCGUAGAUAUUAUGUAGAACACCAGUUGCGAAGGCGGCUUUCUGGAUCAACACUGACGCUGAGGCGCGAAAGUAUGGGUAGCAAAGAGGAUUAGAUACCCUCGUAGUCCAUACCAUAAACGAUGAUUGCUAGAUGUUGGAAAUUUAUUUUCAGUAUCGCAGCUAACGCAUUAAGCAAUCCGCCUGGGGAGUACGACCGCAAGGUUAAAACUCAAAUGAAUUGACGG
rnacentral:rRNA from 1 species